AGAGUUUGAUCAUGGCUCAGGAUGAACGCUGGCGGCGUGCCUAAUACAUGCAAGUCGAACGAGGUGCCCUUGUAGCAAUACGAGGGUAUCCUAGUGGCGAACGGGUGAGUAACGCGUUGGUGACCUGCCCCGAAGUGUGGGAUAACAGUUCGAAAGGACUGCUAAUACCGCAUGCGGUCAUCGGGUUCAGAAGCCGAUGACCAAAGCAGCAAUGCGCUUUGGGAGGGACCUGCGUCCCAUCAGCUAGUUGGUAGGGUAACGGCCUACCAAGGCGACGACGGGUAGGGGACCUGAGAGGGUGACCCCCCACAAUGGAACUGAAACACGGUCCAUACACCUACGGGUGGCAGCAGUAGGGAAUAUUGCACAAUGGGCGAAAGCCUGAUGCAGCAACGCCGCGUGCACGAUGAAGGUCUUCGGAUCGUAAAGUGCUUUUCUGGGAGAUGAGAAAGGACAGUAUCCCAGGAAUAAGUCUCGGCUAACUACGUGCCAGCAGCCGCGGUAAAACGUAGGAGGCAAGCGUUAUCCGGAUUCACUGGGCGUAAAGCGCGUGCAGGCGGUUCGGUAA
rnacentral:rRNA from 1 species